rnacentral:lncRNA from 1 species
UAUAUGGUGUGGUCGAGUCCAUGGGUCUAAUGUGCAUUCUAGUGCGUUUGGCCUAUUCGGGUGGACCUUUGACGCUAGUAAUGACCUUGCUUAUAUUUCUCGGCGUGCAGAAUCCAUUUCUGAGAUUAUUUUCAGUAGAUUUAUAUCCGAAAGUUACGAUCUAAAAUUGGUUGAUUUACGGGGUCCAUUGUGAAGAUCAUUGGUUAAACUUUACUUGAUCAUUGUGAAUUUUCAGUAUGUUGUUCCUAGCACUACAGUUGGUUUAUCUAACGGUCAAGAAAUGAUUAUUUGGUAAUUGAAUAUUCAUUUGAGAUAUAAUUGUUUAUGACAUGCUUCCAAACGAGGAUGAAUCAUGGUGGUUUUGGGUUAGGAAUUACUAUUAGGAGGGAAACAUAUAGUUUGACAUUUCAAUGUAUUUGGACGGCAAUUUGUGGAUUCCAGAUGAGUGAUUUAGCAUGCUACAUACUUUUGAAAAAUUACUCGUAUACCAAAUUUUAUCUAUGAUAAAAAUAAAAAUAAAGUGUUAUCUUUUAUUAUUAAUAUGCUAAUGUUGGUUUUUAAUAUACAUCGUGACGUAUAUACCAAAUUUUAUCUAUGAUAAAAACAAAAAUAAAGUGUUAUCUUUUAUUAUUAAUAUGCUAAUGUUGGUUUUUAAUAUACAUCGUGACGUAUUAUUUAUUUUGGAUAUGGUCUUUUAUUUAUUACACUUUGCUUCCCAUUUCUUGAUGGUGAGAUUUACGAGAUUCUGUAUAUUUGGGACCAGUUUGAAGUCUAAGAGGCACGCCCUCUGUAGAGUUCACUCUGGUUGCUAUGGAAAAAGCUUGGUCGUUGUGAUGGGACCGGGAUGACCCUAGUGCUCAACGGUUUAAGGAACAGUCCUGGUAUGUUCAGGUUAAUUGAAUCGGUUCGGAAAAAAUACCUGGGUGUCACCCCACAGUAACUCUAAGUACGAUAUUGGAGCCAACCAAAUUUAUGCCCAGAGACUUGAUUUGGCACUUUAUAUAUGUAUAUUGUUUAUUUCCGUAGACUAUUGAGAUGAUCAUGUUGUUAUCACACUGAUAUUGUGCUUAAUUUAAGAGUCUUGAGAUUUUUAUAUGUAUUAUAUUGUGAUGCCAAUUAUAAAUCUUGAUAAAAUGAUUAUGUUCUACUAAUUCCUUUUUUUAAAUUCUUGUUUUAGAACUCCAUCCGACUAUACAUGCUUACUGCUUACUGAGUUUUUAAGCUGACGUUGUUUUUACUAUUUUUAGGUUAGUUUCUUGGACAGUAGACGAGGAUUAUGUGGCAUAAUUGGUACCCACUAUGUGGACCUCUAGAUACAAUAGUUUUCAUGUAGUAGUGAGUUGGUACAGCAUUUAUUUUUAAAUUGUUGACAAACACUUAC